ensembl:lncRNA
CUUGUUGGGAAAGCCUGAAGACAACCUACUGCAGCCUACAGAGUGGUGAGGCGCUGGCAGUGCUGCCCAGAGAAGCUGUGGGCGCCCCAUCCCUAGAGGUGCUCAAGGCUGAGUUGGAUGGGGCCCUGGGCAGCCUGAGCUCAUAGGGGGCAGCCGGCCCAUGGCAGGGGAUUGGAACUGGAUGAUCUUUAAGGUCCCCUCCAACCUAAGCCAUUCUAUGAUUCUGCAGCAGUGCUGUUUGGAGAGUUGCUUACCUAUGGAUUGGGUGCUGCUGAUGGCAGCUGGAGACCUAGCUGAAGGCAAGCACAGGGAAUUGUUUUACCUGGGCCCUGCAGGUGAAUGAUACAGAAACAAAGAGGGACAAAAAUUUGAAGAGGUGCGUCGGGGAAAGGAAGGAACUGCAAUGUGAACAGCUGGAACCGUCUAUGAAAGUCAACCCAAGCACCUCUUCCAACACCUGGGGCUACGGGUGACCUUCUAGGCUUUGCUGUUACACCAUUUCAGGAGCCCUCCUUCCCCCUGGGGCUGGCUCUGCUUGGAAGCGGCGGAGAGCCUAAAUAGAUCUGUGCUCUGUGGCUGCAGCUCUGCACACAGAGGUGACGAGAGCACGGUGUGAAGUGUCAGCUGUCGGGAAGAUGGCACAGAAGUCCCCUUUCCUUACCCUGCAAGACGUGCUGGUAGGAAAUGGCCACUUGGAGCAUACUUGUUCC